rnacentral:rRNA from 1 species
ACCUUACACACUAUGUUUUUUUGAUUUGAAACUUUUGCUUUGGUCUGACUUAGAAAUGAGUUGGGCCAAAGGUUUUAUACUAAAACUUCAAUUUUAUUAUUGAAUUGUUAAUUAAUUAUAUUGUCAAUUUGUUGAUUAAAUUCAAAAAUCUUCAAAACUUUCAACAACGGAUCUCUUGGUUCUCGCAUCGAUGAAGAACGCAGCGAAAUGCGAUAAGUAAUAUGAAUUGCAGAUUUUCGUGAAUCAUCGAAUCUUUGAACGCACAUUGCGCCCUAUGGUAUUCCAUAGGGCAUGCCUGUUUGAGCGUCAUUUCUCUCUCAAAUCUUCGGAUUUGGUUUUGAGUGAUACUCUUAGUCAGACUAAGCGUUUGCUUGAAAUGUAUUGGCAUGAGUGGUACUAGAUAGUGCUGAACUGUUUCAAUGUAUUAGGUUUAUCCAACUCGUUGACCAGUAUAGUAUUUGUUUAUUACACAGGCUCGGCCUUACAACAACAAACAAAGUUUGACCUC